CAUCACGUGCGAUCACCGAAGUUAUGCAACAUCGAGCCUGGUCAGUACUUAGAUGGGUGACUGCUUGGGAAUACCACGUGCUGUAAG